GGAAUUACAGGUGAAUAAAGAAUGGUACACUCAUUCCUGAGGGCACCGAGGAGGGAGGAUAGAUUUAGAUUUCUAAGGGAGGGUAUUAUCCAUUCAUGAAGGUCCAACCCCAUGACCAAACACCUCCCAGUAAGCCCCACCUGCAACAUUGGGGAUCAAAUUUUAACAUGAGAUUGGAAGGGGCAAGCAUUCAAACCACAGCAAGAGUUAAACUUCCUUUUUAAAAAAAAUCACUGAUAUGAUUCCAUUUCGCCAUAGAUAAAAGCUAGUAUUUCAGCCUACCAUUGAGUGUGCUUAUAGCUCACCAAAAGGGCACUCUGUCUCGAGAAUAGAGAGUGCCCUUUUGGUGAGCUAUAAGCACACUCAAUGGUAGGCUGAAAUACUAGCUUUUAUCUAUGGUGAAAUGGAAUCAUAACAGUGAUUUUUUAAAAAAGGAAAUUUAACUCUUGCUAUGGUUUGAAUGAUUGCCCCUUCCAAUCUCAUGUUAAAAUUUGAUCCCCAAUGUUGCAGGUGGGGCUUACUGGGAGGUGUUUGGUCAUGGGGUUGGACCUUCAUGAAUGGAUAAUACCCUCCCUUAGAAAUCUAAAGCUAUCCUCCCUCCUCGGUGCCCUCAGGAAUGAGUGUACCAUUCUUUAUUCACCUGUAAUUCCUUUACCCAUCCUUUUUGAGAUAUUAAUUACAUGUAUGUUACACUGCUGCAUAUUGUCUGACGUAUCAGUGAGUUUCUGGCUUUCUUAUUUUAGUUUACCCUUUGUCCUUUAGUUUGUAAAGCUUCUAUUUUGUUCUAUAAAUUUUCUGAUGUUAGGGUAAAAUCCAUUACUUAUUCAAUCUCAUGGAAUUUUUAUUUAAAAUAUUUAUUUUUCAUCUAUACAUGCCCCAUUUUUCAUUUUAUAACUUCUAUUUUUCUCCUAUGUUCAAUUUUCAUUUAAGUACCUUGACAUAUAUAUGUAUUUAUCUAUAUGUAUUUAUAAAAUAUAUUUACUUUAAGGACCUUGAAAUUUCCUUCUUUUCUGUCAUUUAUAAAUGACUUAUUUUUAUCCUGUUAAUAUAUAUCUUAAUUGUAUAUAUCUUACGGCUUCUUUGCAUGUCAGAGUUUUUUUUUUGGGUAUUUUGAUGUUAUGCUAUUGAAUAUCUAGAUUUUAUUGGCUACUUUUGAACAAUGUUGUGGCAGGCAGUUCAGUAACUUCAGGAUGAGUAUUUGUCUGUUGUUGUUUUAAAUCUUCUCUUUAAACUUUGUGGAGUUAGUCUAGAGCCAUCUGUAAUUUGGAGCUAAAUGAGCACUGUCACUAGGGCAUGAACCUCCAGUGGUCUUUACUGAAUAUCCUGGAGGUACAGAGGGGAUUCCCUUCUCUGGCUUGUCAGAGCUAACGUGUCUUCCUGUCAUGUGAUGCCAGGGAAGUGUUCUUCUUCCAACUCCCUGGUAGAGUCCUUUGCUGAGCUCCUUAGAAUUUCAUCCUAUGUACAUUUGGCUUAGGGACUUGGGAGAAUCCUUAGGCUGAUUCCUGAUUCCUUUUUCUGUAAACGUUCUCUUCUACUACACAUUCCAGCUACUUAACCUUUUUUGAUUUUUAUCUGGUUCCUCAGUGCAAUGAGAAUGUCUGCUCUCUCUAGGAUUCCUCUCUACUGCUGUCACGGAAAAUCUGAGAAUAAAGCAGGACUCAUUCUGGCUCCUUCUCUUCUCUUGCAGAGCAGAGUCCUGUGCUGCCUGAUGUUCAGUACUUCAAAAAAAUGUUUCAUAUAUUUUGUCCAGUUUACUAUUCUUUAACUCUAAAAGAGUAACUCCAGUCCCAGUUACAGCAUCAUGUUGUGUAACUCUACUCCUUGUUGCUUCAUUCUGCCAUUGUCUGGUAUGAUCGCCCCUUUCCCUUCUGUAAUCAGGCCAAGAGCAUAAUAUAAUACUAUUUAUAACUGCACAGCUUGCCUCCGUUGUGUAAAAAAAUCACUGAGACUUAACUGUGUCCAACUUUUAAAAUGUGAAUAUAAGUACAACUAAAGCUAUAUUUUGGUUAAUAUUUGCAUUGCAUGCUUUUCCAUUAUUUACUUUCAACAUAUGUGAAAUAUGAAUAUAAAUUAUAAAAACUUAGAGUCCAUUUUAAAAAUCUGGUCUGGUUAUAUUUUACCUGGUUUAAUACAACGUGCAUUAUUGAAUUCAGGGUCUAAUAUAAUUGGUACAUUUGUCUAUUUGCAAAAAAAAAAAAAAAACUUGACAAUAUUUUAAAAUUAAUUUAUCCAACUCACAACUUAUAUGCUUCUGCCGUUGUAUGGAAGAUACAUUUUAAACUUAAUGAGAUAGCAUUCUGUUAUACAGUCGAUAUCCAAUUAAAUUUCUCUCUAUGUUUAUUUCUUUCAUUAAAAAAAUUGUUCUUCUAAAUGCAAACUUUCAUCAGGGAUCAUGGCUCUUCUACCUGAAGAAUAAUCUUUAGUAUUUCUUUUCCUGUGGGUCUGCUUGGGAGAAAUUCUUUAUUGUAUCUUUGCUUUUGAUGGAUAUGUCCACCAAGUAGACAGUUCUAGGUCAGCACUUAUUUUAUUUCAGGACUUGAAAGAUAUCAGUACCUCACUUGUUGGCUUUCGUUGAUUCAUUUGAGGAAGUUGUUAUCAGUCAACUCUUUCUCUUUGUAGUUAGCCCAAUUUUUUUAUCAAGUGCUCUUUACAUUUUUCUUUUACUUUUCAGAAAUUGUCCCAUUAUGUUUCUAGAUGUGUCCUCUGUGUGUGUUUUCCUUUGCUUUGAAAAGUCUCCUGAACCUGAGGUUUAAUAUUAUUGGUCAAUUUUGAUAAAACCUCUAACAUUGCCACUUAAAAUGCUGUUCAGACAAGCUGUUUUCUCCUUCUUAGAUUUCAACGUGUUAGAUUAUUACUCUAUUCCUCAUAUUUUUUAAAUGACCUUUCUCUACUAUUUUUUUAAGUUGGUUAAUCUGUAUUAGUGUAUAUUUUGUUUUUUUAUUUUAUUUUAUUUUAUUAUUAUACCUUAAGUUAUAGGAUACAUGUGCACAAUGUGCAGGUUUGUAACAUAAGUGUUCAUGUGCCAUGUUGGUGUGCUGCACCCAUUAACUCGUCAUUUAGCAUUAGGCAUAUCUCCUAAUGCUAUCCCUCCCCACUCCCCCCACCCCACAACAGUCCCCGAAGUGUGAUGUUCCCCUUCCUGUGUCCAUGUGUUCUCAUUGUUCAAUACCCACCUAUGAAUGAGAACAUGUGGUGUUUGGUUUUUUGUCCUUGCGAGAGUUUACUGAGAAUGAUGAUUUCCAGUUUCAUCCAUGUCCCUACGUAGGACAUGAACUCAUCAUUUUUUAUGGCUGCAUAGUACUCCAUGGUGUAUAUGUGCCACAUUUUCUUAAUCCAGUCUAUCGUUGUUGGACAUUUGGGAUGGUUCCAAGUCUUUGCUAUUCUGAAUACUGCCGUAGUAAACAUACGUGUGCAUGUGUCUUUAUUGAAGCAUGAUUUAUAGUCCUUUCUGUAUAUACCCAGUAAGGGAAUGGCUGGGUGACAUGGUAUUUCUAGUUCUAGAUACUUGAGGAAUCACCACACUGACUUCCACAAUGUUUGAACUAGUUUACAGUCCCACCAACAGUGUAAAAGUGUUCCUAUUUCUCCACAUCCUAUCCAGCACCUGCCGUUUCCUGACUUUUUAAUGAUCGCCAUUCUAACUGGUGUGAGUUGGUAUCUCAUUGUGGUUUUGAUUUGCAUUUCUCUGAUGGCCAGUGAUGAUGAGCAUUUUUUCAUGUGUUUUUUUGGCUGCACAAAUGUCUUCUUUUGAGAAGUGUCUAUUCGUGUCCUUCACCCACUUUUUGAUGGGGUUGUUUUUUACUUGUAAAUGUGUUUGAGUUCAUUGUAGAUUCUGGUUAU
rnacentral:lncRNA from 1 species